rnacentral:rRNA from 1 species
GAGUUUGAUCCUGGCUCAGGACGAACGCUAGCGGCGUGCCUAACACAUGCAAGUCGAACGGAGAUACGCGCUGAAUGGAUGGAGCUUGCUUUUGAAAUUCUUGUGUAUCUUAGUGGCGGACGGGUGAGUAACGCGUGAGCAACCUGCCUUUCAGAGGGGGAUAACGUUUGGAAACGAACGCUAAUACCGCAUGAGACCACAGUACUGCAUAGUACAGUGGCCAAAGGAGCAAUCCGCUGAAAGAUGGGCUCGCGUCCGAUUAGAUAGUUGGCGGGGUAACGGCCCACCAAGUCGACGAUCGGUAGCCGGACUGAGAGGUUGAACGGCCACAUUGGGACUGAGACACGGCCCAGACUCCUACGGGAGGCAGCAGUGAGGGAUAUUGGUCAAUGGGGGAAACCCUGAACCAGCAACGCCGCGUGAGGGAAGACGGUUUUCGGAUUGUAAACCUCUGUCCUCUGUGAAGAUAAUGACGGUAGCAGAGGAGGAAGCUCCGGCUAAC